rnacentral:rRNA from 1 species
CGGAGGGUCCAAGCGUUAUCCGGAAUCAUUGGGUUUAAAGGGUCCGUAGGCGGUUUAAUAAGUCAGUGGUGAAAGCCCAUCGCUCAACGAUGGAACGGCCAUUGAUACUGUUAAACUUGAAUUAUUAGGAAGUAACUAGAAUAUGUAGUGUAGCGGUGAAAUGCUUAGAGAUUACAUGGAAUACCAAUUGCGAAGGCAGGUUACUACUAAUAUAUUGACGCUGAUGGACGAAAGCGUGGGGAGCGAACAGGAUUAGAUACCCUGGUAGUCCACGCCGUAAACGAUGGAUACUAGCUGUUCGGAGCAAUCUGAGUGGCUAAGCGAAAGUGAUAAGUAUCCCACUGGGGAUACGUUCGCAAGAAUG